AUCGCUUCUCGGCCUUUUGGCUAAGAUCAAGUGUAAAUUUCAUUCUAGAUUUGAAUUUCUUUUUUUGGUUAUUAAUAUUAAAAAAUCUGAGUGGUAGCUUAUUUAAUUAAUGAUGCCCGUCAGCUCAGUGUCAUCCUUA
rnacentral:snRNA from 1 species